GAGACAGCAGCCGCCACGGGAAUACGAGGGGGGCAAGCGUUGUUCGGAAUUAUUGGGCGUAAAGGGCGCGUAGGCGGUUUGACAAGUCUGAUGUGAAAUCUCUGGGCUCAACCCAGAGUCUGCAUCGGAAACUGUCGAGCUUGAGUAUGGGAGAGGUGAGUGGAAUUUCCGGUGUAGCGGUGAAAUGCGUAGAUAUCGGAAGGAACACCUGUGGCGAAAGCGGCUCACUGGACCAUUACUGACGCUGAGGCGCGAAAGCUAGGGGAGCAAACAGGAUUAGAUACCCCCGUAGUCCCUGUCUCUUAUAC
rnacentral:rRNA from 1 species